UUAGGCUGGGUAUUCCAAACCUUUGUGUCAAGAGGCUUGUAUAAUGCAUAAGGUGGAACAUAGCGACCAUGUCGUAAAGUUAUAUGACUGGUUUGAAAUGAAAGAUCACGACAUGGAAUAUCCACAUACCAGCAUAACCUUGUUUGAUUUCAUCAAACAAAACAGAGGUCGUCUGACUGAAGCAAAAGCUAAAGACAUCAUGCAGAAAGUCAUCGCUGUGAUAGAGCACUGCAUGGAUCAGGGUGUUUAUCAUAAUGACAUAAGCCUGAGAAACAUACUCAACAUCCCAUACACCAUGAAGAUCAAGUUAACAGGCUUUGGCAGAGCACUGCACAUCAAAAAAAGUUGAAGAGACAAAUCUACAUCAAUGAUAGAGAGGAGAUGUCGCGCUGUAAUAGCAGCAACUGAAGACUUAUACAGAGUGCUGAAGGGGAUGGUCAAAGGAAAAAGUGGUUUGAAUUUGAAACCUUUGUUUGGUAGGAAAAAAGCAGACUUGUCCAAAGAAUGCCUGGAUCUACUUCAGAGACUUCGUGACAGAGAGUCAGGGAUCAUCUUACAGAUGACUGGUUUAAAGAAGUCCGAGUCGUCAGACAGAAUGGAUCAGUUCUCAAUCAUCGACCAGCGCUACAGAUGAACAUGCGCAGAACAACCCGAGA